GGACCUUCUCUCUCAGAAGUUUAAAAAUGAAAUUAAUAAAUAAUCUGUUUCUGUUCUGUGAUUCAUGUUCAGUGGUGAAAUAAAAAAACAUCCAGGAAACUUUUCUACAUUGAUGCAACGUUUCCCAGAGCUUCAUCUGAUGACCUGAAACAGAACUGACCUGCUGAUGGAGGACCUGUUGAAGAACCCUAACUCUGUAACUGAUGAAGAUAAAGAAGAAGGUUUUCCUGUCAGGUGUAACUGAUGAUGAUGAAGGUUUUCCUGUCAGGUGUAAAUGAUGAAGGUGACGAUGGGGGACGACUGGGGGACCCUGACGGGGUGAGCUGGUGUCUUCAUUUGCACAACUGACUUCCCCUCUUGGACGUCCCUUAGUUCUGCCCCUAGUUCUGCUGCUACAGGCCUAGGCUGCUGGAGGACCUCUCUGGAUGCACUGAGCCCUUCUCUAUCUAGCAUUAUAUACAAUGGUAUACCAUAAAUAUAUGUUCCAUUAUUGCAUUACACUCACUCUGUUUCUCCCUGUGUCCUUUCUCCGAGUGUCCCUGAUCCCAGAGCUGGAUGCUUCAGAUCUGUGGUGGUUCUCCCACCAACUGGCCUAAUCUCCAUCUGUGGGAUGCUGCUGCUGCUGACCUUCCUCCAGCCCACUGCUUCCAGCUGCCCAUUUCCAUCAAUCUACUCUGCAUCACCCUCACUAUACUUGAUUUGCUGGUCUACAUAUUUUUGAAUUUACCACCAGCUAUAUAUGUAGUAUAUUUAAUGCCAGAGCCAUACACCAUAGCAGUAAACUAUAAUCAGUUUCCAGCCCAGAGGGAUAUAUGCACAGAUUUUUUUAAAUACCAUGUAGAAGACUAUAUACAGGAAGAUGAGGUAUCAGUUCUUGCACAUAGAUAUACAACAGUCCUUUAUUACUCCCCAGGUCAGGGGAAAUUUCCAGUGUUAGAGCAGCAAAAAUCUUUCAGAGCAGCACUAACUACAGUUUACUACAGUAAAGAUAAUAAUUAUAAUAACAAUAAUAUAUACAAGAAUGAAAAAUGAAUAAAUACCGUAUUACUACACUAUAAGUGACAUCAGCAUAAAGUGGCUUGUGGAAUACAUGUAAUUGUAAAAGUGCAGAAAAUGAUUUUCUCAAAACAGGUGAGUCCUGUGAAUAUGACCAAAAUAUGAGAUAAAACUACC
ensembl:lncRNA